AUUGAACGCUGGCGGAAUGCUUUACACAUGCAAGUCGAACGGUAGAGGGGGCAACCCCUCGAGAGUGGCGAACGGGUGAGUAAUAUAUCGGAACGUGCCCAGUCGUGGGGGAUAACGUAGCGAAAGUUACGCUAAUACCGCAUACGAUCUACGGAUGAAAGCGGGGGACUCGCAAGAGCCUCGCGCGAUUGGAGCGGCCGAUAUCAGAUUAGGUAGUUGGUGGGGUAAAGGCUCACCAAGCCAACGAUCUGUAGCUGGUCUGAGAGGACGACCAGCCACACUGGAACUGAGACACGGUCCAGACUCCUACGGGAGGCAGCAGUGGGGAAUUUUGGACAAUGGACGCAAGUCUGAUCCAGCCAUUCCGCGUGCAGGAUGAAGGCCCUC
rnacentral:rRNA from 1 species